rnacentral:rRNA from 1 species
UGAUUAUUUAAUGGCCGCGGUAUUUUGACCGUGCAAAGGUAGCAUAAUCAUUAGUCUAUUAAUUGUGGACUUGUAUGAAUGGUUGGACGAAAUAUUUACUGUCUCAUUAUUAUUAUUAGAAUUUAAAUUUUAAGUUAAAAUGCUUAAAUUUUUUUAGAGGACGAGAAGACCCUAUAGAUCUUUAUUUUUUAUAAUUUUUAUUGUUUUUGAUUUUAUUUUAUUGAUAUUUUGAAAUUUUUUGUUGGGGUGACAAGGAGAUAAUUAUUAACUCUUUAUUUUUUUUUUCAUUGAUUUUUGUUAAUUUGACCUUUUAUUAUUGUUAUUAGAUAUAGAUACCUUAGGGAUAACAGCGUAAUUCUUUUUGAGAGUUCAUAUUGACAAAAGAGAUUGCGACCUCGAUGUUGGAUUAAGAUUAUAAUUAGGUGUAGCUGUUUAAUUAUUAGGUCUGUUCGACCUUUAAAUUCUUACAUGAUCUGAGUUCAAA